CACGUAGGCGGACUAUUAAGUCAGGGGUGAAAUCCCGGGGCUCAACCCCGGAACUGCCUUUGAUACUGGUAGUCUCGAGUCCGGAAGAGGUGAGUGGAAUUCCGAGUGUAGAGGUGAAAUUCGUAGAUAUUCGGAGGAACACCAGUGGCGAAGGCGGCUCACUGGUCCGGUACUGACGCUGAGGUGCGAAAGCGUGGGGAGCAAAACA
rnacentral:rRNA from 1 species